rnacentral:piRNA from 1 species
UGGACUCGAAUUCAGGUCCUCUGGAAGAGC